ensembl:lncRNA
CUGAAACAAAGAUAGUUCUGUCAAGUCGUAAAGACACCCAAUCAGGAGACACUCAAUCAGAAGAAACCCAAUCUGGCAGAGCGCUCCUACCAGGUGACAUAGUGAGGAUGGGUGUCUGCCUCAAGCUCAAUCUUGACAAGACUGACCUGUUCCUAUUUCGCAGGAAGGCCUGUUUGAUCCAAAACAUGUCCACCAUGGUCGAAAACAGCAUCGUGUCCUCCUCAGAGUGCAAAAAACCAUGGCAUGACCCUCCAUGACACGCUACCGUUGUCUGCUAACAUCGAGACAAUGACUCGCUCCUGCUGGUUCAUGCUCUGUCUACAACAUCCAUAUGGCCUUACCUCACACAGGAAGGUACUUGUCCAGCACUUUUCUUUUCAUUUCAAAAUGACUGCAACUCACCCGUGGUGGGGCUCCCGGCGUGUGCAACCAAACCCCUGCAGCACACUGAGAACGGAGCAGCGCGUCUGGUGUUUCGCUACAACACUGUGGCGAACACCAGGUUGUGUCACCUAGCGCUGUUAAAAGUAUGCACUUACUGUACGUCGCUCCCGAUAUGACGUAUAAAUAACUCAAAUGUAAAAUGUAAAAAUGACGCGAGUCAGCUCAUCAAUGGCACACGACCCGGUAGGCCAGGGAAGACGUCUACCCUGGAGGACCAAAUAAUGCUCACCACAGCGACGAAGGGAAAAAACAACAACCGUCUGACACAUCAGGAGCACUCUCUAGGAGGUAGACAUUGAUGUGUCAGCCACUACCGUUUGCAGAAGAGUUCACCAGCCAAACUGCUGAGGCUGGACUGCAAGGAAGGACAUUCCCAUCGAGCAACAUUCCUCAUUUUAAGUGGGAUCGUCUUGUAAAGUCAAAUUCUUUCAAAUAAACGAUUUUGCCAUCAGAUUUUUCUAGAAAUAUGAAAGACUAAUUGUGUUUAAGAUGUUUUCGACAAAGUAGUAAUUCUAAUGGAAACACUGCAGUACAUAUUGUAACUGAUAUCUAAAAUUAAGGCCAUUUGUAAAAUUGGCAAUGUUCUGAAAGAAAGAGGAUACAGUGACCCGACUGAAUGUGUGACCCAUGGCAGUUAUUUUUUCGUCUAAUGCAGCACUGUUCGGUCCUGUUGACUCACACAGUUCUCUACCUUGUGUCUUCAGUAUGUUCACA